rnacentral:rRNA from 1 species
CAGCCGCCGCGGGAAUACGGAGGGGGCUAGCGUUGUUCGGAAUUACUGGGCGUAAAGCGCACGUAGGCGGCUUGGUAAGUUAGAGGUGAAAGCCCGGAGCUCAACCCCGGAAUUGCCUUUAAGACUGCCGAGCUAGUAGGUGAGAGAGGUAAGUGGAAUUCCGAGUGUAGAGGUGAAAUUCGCAGAUAUUCGGAAGAACACCAGUGGCGAAGGCGGCUUACUGGCUCAUUCUAGACGCUGAGGUGCGAAAGCGUGGGGGGCAAACAGGAUUAGAGACCCCCGUAGUCCAUGUCUCUUAUAC